GACGAACGCUGGCGGCGUGCUUAACACAUGCAAGUCGAACGGAAAGGCCCUGCUUGCAGGGUACUCGAGUGGCGAACGGGUGAGUAACACGUGGGUGAUCUGCCCUGCACUUCGGGAUAAGCCUGGGAAACUGGGUCUAAUACCGGAUAGGAGCCAUCUUUAGUGUGAUGGUUGGAAAGUUUUUUCGGUGUAGGAUGAGCUCGCGGCCUAUCAGCUUGUUGGUGGGGUAAUGGCCUACCAAGGCGGCGACGGGUAGCCGGCCUGAGAGGGUGGACGGCCACAUUGGGACUGAGAUACGGCCCAGACUCCUACGGGAGGCAGCAGUGGGGAAUAUUGCACAAUGGGCGGAAGCCUGAUGCAGCGACGCCGCGUGGGGGAUGACGGCCUUCGGGUUGUAAACUCCUUUCGCUAGGGACGAAGCUUUUUGUGACGGUACCUAGAUAAGAAGCACCGGCUAACUACGU
rnacentral:rRNA from 1 species